rnacentral:rRNA from 1 species
GGACUACCCGGGUUUCUAAUCCUGUUUGCUCCCCACGCUUUCGCGCCUCAGCGUCAGUUACGGUCCAGAGAGCCGCCUUCGCCACCGGUGCUCUUCCCAAUAUCUACGAAUUUCACCUCUACACUGGGAAUUCCACUCUCCUCUCCCGCACUCCAGCCUCCGAGUAUCAAAUGCCAUUCCCAGGUUGAGCCCAGGGCUUUCACAUCUGACUUCAAAGGCCGCCUGCGCGCCCUUUACGCCCAGUAAUUCCGAACAACGCUCGCCCCCUUCGUAUUACCGCGGCGGCUGGCAC